UACAGAGGUGGCAAGCGUUGUUCGGAAUUACUGGGCGUAAAGGGCGCGUAGGCGGUUUUGUAAGUCAGACGUGAAAUCCCCAGGCUUAACUUGGGAACUGCGUCUGAUACUGCAAAACUUGAGUGCGGGAGAGGGAUGUGGAAUUCCAGGUGUAGCGGUGAAAUGCGUAGAUAUCUGGAGGAAUACCGGUGGCGAAGGCGGCAUCCUGGACCAUUACUGACGCUGAGGCGCGAAAGCUAGGGGAGCAAACGGG
rnacentral:rRNA from 1 species